CAGUUCGGCUGGACCGGAUACAGGUGCUGCAUGGCUGUCGUCAGCUCGUGUCGUGAGAUGUUGGGUUAAGUCCCGCAACGAGCGCAACCUCGUCCCUUAGUUGCCAGCAUUUAGUUGGGCACUCUAAGGGGACUACCGGUGAUAAGCCGAGAGGAAGGUGGGGAUGACGUCAAGUCCUCAUGGCCCUUACGGGCUGGGCUACACACGUGCUACAAUGGUGGUGACAGUGGGCAGCGAGCACGCGAGUGUGAGCUAAUCUCCAAAAGCCAUCUCAGUUCGGAUUGCACUCUGCAACUCGAGUGCAUGAAGUUGGAAUCGCUAGUAAUCGUGAAUCAGAAUGUCACGGUGAAUACGUUCCCGGGCCUU
rnacentral:rRNA from 1 species